rnacentral:rRNA from 1 species
UACACGUGGACAAUCUGCCCUGGAGAGGAGGAUAAUCCCGGGAAACUGGGGGUAAUACUCCAUAUUUCGUGUUGACUGGAAUGUUACGCGAAAGAAAGAUCCGUCGCUUCAGGAUGAGUCUGCGGCCGAUUAGGUAGUUGUCGGGGUAACGUCCCAACAAGCCAGUGAUCGGUACGGGUUGUGGGAGCAAGAGCCCGGAGAUGGAUUCUGAGACACGAAUCCAGGCCCUACGGGGCGCAGCAGGCGCGAAAACUUUACAAUGCGGGAAACCGUGAUAAGGGGACACCGAGUGUCAGCGUCAUACGCUGGCUGUCCAGGUGUGUAAAAUACACCUGUUAGCAAGGGCCGGGCAAGACCGGUGCCAGCCGCCGCGGUAACACCGGCGGCCCGAGUGGUGAUCGUGAUUAUUGGGUCUAAAGGGUCCGUAGCCUGUUUGGUCAGUCCUCCGGGAAAUCUGACAGCUCAACUGUUAGGCUUUCGGAGGAUACUGCCAGACUUGGAACCGGGAGAGGUAAGAGGUACUACAGGGGUAGGAGUGAAAUCUUGUAAUCCCUGUGAGACCACCUGUGGCGAAGGCGUCUUACCAGAACGGGUUCGACGGUGAGGGACGAAAGCUGGGGGCACGAACCGGAUUAGAUACCCGGGUAGUCCCAGCCGUAAACGAUGCUCGCUAGGUGUCAGGCAUGGCGCGACCGUGUCUGGUGCCGCAGGGAAGCCGUGAAGCGAGCCACCUGGGAAGUACGGCCGCAAGGCUGAAACUUAA